UACGAAGGGGGCUAGCGUUGCUCGGAAUUACUGGGCGUAAAGGGAGCGUAGGCGGGUCGUCAAGUUGGGGGUGAAAGCCCAGGGCUCAACCUUGGAACUGCCUUCAAAACUGACGAUCUAGAGUAUGGAAGAGGUAAGUGGAACUCCGAGUGUAGAGGUGAAAUUCGUAGAUAUUCGGAAGAACACCAGUGGCGAAGGCGGCUCACUGGCCCGGUACUGACGCUGAGGCACGAAAGCGUGGGGAGCAAACAGG
rnacentral:rRNA from 1 species